rnacentral:rRNA from 1 species
GAUCAAGUUACCAAGGGCAUACGGUGGAUGUCUUGGCGUUGAGAGGCGAUGAAGGACGUGGGAACCUGCGAAAUGCCCAGGGGAGCUGGUAACCGAGCAUCGAUCCUGGGAUCUCCGAAUGGGGAAACCCGGCCCCGACUUGUCGGGGUCACCUGUGUCUGAAUGCAUAGGGCACAGGGGCGAACCUGGCGAACUGAAACAUCUCAGUAACCAGAGGAAAAGAAAGCAAACGCGAUUCCGUCAGUAGCGGCGAGCGAAAGCGGAACAGCCCAAACCGGGCUUCGGCCCGGGGUUGCGGGCACCAAUAUGGUUCUUCCAAUUUGUUUGUGAAUCGUCUGGAAAGGCGGUACCAAAGAAGGUGACAGUCCUGUAGCAGAUGAUGCGGAAGGCCUAGGUGUUCCAGAGUAGCACGGAGCUCGUGAAACUCCGUGUGAAACUGGGGGGUCCACCCUCCAAGGCUAAAUACUACUCAACGACCGAUAGUGAAUCAGUAAGGCGACUGAAUGAUGAAAAGCACCCCGAUAAGGGGAGUGAAAAGUACCUGAAACCGUGUGCCUACAAGCUGUGGGAGUCCCGAUUCCAUCGGGAUGACCGCGUGCCUUUUGCAUAAUGAGCCGACGAGUUGCUCUCUGUGGCAAGGUUAAGCUGUAUCCCAGCGGAGCCGAAGGGAAACCGAGUCUUAAAUGGGCGUGUAGUCGCAGGGGGCAGACGCGAAACCGAGUGAUCUACCCAUGGGCAGGUUGAAGAGGGAGUAAUGCCCCUUGGAGGACCGAACGCACCAACGUUGAAAAGUUGGGCGAUGACCUGUGGGGAGGAGUGAAAGUCUAAUCAUACUCGGAGAUAUCUCGUUCUCCUCGAAAUAGCUUUAGGGCUAGCCUCACGUUACACCGCGCGGGGGUAGAGCUACUGGAUGGGGCUGGGGGGCCACAAGCCUACUCACUUCAACCAAACUCCGAAUACCGUGCGGCCCUGUCGUGGGAGUCAGUCCACGGGAGAUAAUUUCCGUGGUCGAAAGGGAAACAGCCCAGACCGCCAGUUAAGGCCCCGAAACGGUCCUCAGUUUUGAAGGUAGUUGGAUUGCCGUGACAGCCAGGAUGUUGGCUUAGAAGCAGCCACCAUUUAAAGAGUGCGUAACAGCUCACUGGUCGAGGAAUCCAGCGCCGAAAAUGAUCGGGAAUCAAGGACCGUGCCGAAACUGCGGAUCCCGACUUGUCGGGAUGGUAGAGGAGCGUUCCUGUCAGCUGUGAAGCGGUGCCGUAAGGCCAUCGUGGAGCGGCAGGAAGUGAAUAUGUCGGCUUGAGUAACGAUAAACGGAGUGAGAAUCUCCGUCGCCGAAAGCCUAAGGUUUCCUGGGGAAGGUAAAUCCGCCCAGGGUUAGUCGGGACCUAAGGCGAGGCCGAAAGGCGUAGUCGAUGGACAGCAGGUCAACAUUCCUGCACUCCCAUGUGCGGUUGAUCCGGCGUGACGGAUCGUGAAGCUUGACGGGACAGUGAAGCGUCCAGGCCCUUGAGGCCGAUGUCGGGUGGAUCGGUUCCUAGAAAAACCGUCCGGUGACAAUCAUGGGACCCGUACCGCAAACUGACACAGGUAGGCUUGGCGAAAAGCCUCAGGCGCUCGAGAAAACGGUUGUGAAGGAACUAGGCAAAUUCACCCCGUACGUUCGCAAUAAGGGGGCCCUCCUGGAAACAGAGGGCGCAGAGAAUAGGCCCUGGCGACUGUUUAUCAAAAACACAGCACUGUGCUAACUCGCAAGAGGACGUAUACAGUGUGACACCUGCCCGGUGCCGGUACGUUAAGGAAGCAGGUUAUCCCGACUUGUCGGGAGAAGCUUGCGACCGAAGCGCCGGUAAACGGCGGCCGUAACUAUGACGGUCCUAAGGUAGCGAAGUUCCUUGUCGGGUAAGUUCCGACCUGCAUGAAUGGUGUAACGACUGGGGCACUGUCUCCACAACCGACUCGGUGAAAUAGUAGUGGCGGUGAAGAUGCCGCCUACCCGCGGCAAGACGGAAAGACCCCGUGGACCUUUACUGUAGGCUUGUAUUGGUCAUGGGCCUGUUCUGCGUAGGAUAGGUGGGAGGCGUUGAAGCCCCGAUUUCGGUCGGGGUGGAGCCAACCUUGAAAUACCACCCUUGGCACGUCUGUGGCCUAACCCAGAUUCCCGUGAAGCCGGGCUGGGGACCGUGCAUGCUGGGCAGUUUGACUGGGGCGGUCUCCUCCUAAAAGGUAACGGAGGAGCGCAAAGGUCGGCUCAGCAUGGUUGGAAACCAUGUGUUGAGUGUAAGAGCAUAAGCCGGCUUUACUGCGAGUCUGACU